rnacentral:lncRNA from 1 species
AUUUUUUACUUAUUUUUCCCUGUUCCCUUGGGUUUCUCUUUUCUGCUGUUUUCGUCAUGCUCCCUCUCUCUCUUUGUCAUGAUUCCCUCCCUCUGUCAUGUUACCCUCUUCUCUCCUUUCCAUUCUGCCUUGGGCCAAAGGCUUGACAAUAUAUAAAAGUUACAGCGUAAAUAUAUGAACAAACGGGUUCCGCCACAGUUCAGGCCUUCUGAGACUGACGGACAGACAGACGCAACACGCCUGAGGGACAGACACAAGGACAGCACCAGAGGAAGUCUCCACAGCAACAAGAGAGCCAGAGAACACGCAACGGCUGGAUCUCUUUAUUAAUCCCCUGCCUACCUGAUCGCGUUGCCUCUGCCUGCCUGCCUGCCUGCCUGCCUGCCCGCCUGCCCGCCCGCCCGCCUGCGCUCGCUGUGUCUGUAGCCAAGGGAGACUAAAAUACCCAGUAUAUUCAGGUGAAGAAAUGGAGCUUAAGAUUAUAUAGAAUUGUUAAUGGCUGUUAGUGUUGUUUUCCUAUUGUUAGAUCUGUUUGUCAAGUCUAACGACCUAGGCUAAGUAGACUCUUACCAGCCCUUAAAAAUAAACACUUCAUAUUUCCUAUUUUCACCUAUGUUCUUCCAUUCUCCAUGGAUCUCUCAAGCGUCGACUGCCUCUAUAAUAUUGUAAUUUCAUUGCUUAACUGCGUGAACAGCACUGGUGGAAAAGGGUAAGGCGCAUAAGAGCAGCUGCACUAAAAACUCAGCUCUGCUCAGCCUUCCCCAAAGAGAUGUAAUGCUUAAGUGAGUGGCUUGUGUUGUCUACCCUACAGUGUAAUGGCUGUGUGGAAAUAGGUCACCUGAAGUGGUAGUCUUCUGCUCUUGAUUCAAAAUUAAUCUUGAUAAAUAUGCUGUUUUUCUUCUAAAGAAAGGACUACGGUCGGCCUUCCAUGCACCUAUAAUAAACCUCUGUAUUGGUGGUGCUUGUGUGAAGUACAUCAGUCUGUGCUUUCAUUCAGUAAUGUGAUGAAAAGCCUUUGAGUGAGCAAUGCCGUCACCUCAUUACGAAAGCCAGAGAUGGUCAGCACUUCUGUCAGCGAGAAGAAACAUGAUGACAAAUGUGUCAGUCAUUACACGCCAGUGACCCUCAAGGUCCCAUCUCAAGGGCGAGAUGUGAGAUGUGACAUCUCUGUUUCUGUAACACUAUAAUUAACCCCUGACCUCGACCAAACAGGAAGCCAGAGAAAGCCCUCAGGGCGAGUUUUCUCACAGUAAUGGAGGGUCCCGAUGUAAUUGACGGCUCACUAGUCAGUCAGAGGGGUCAGGCUUGUGUUUGACUAUUCCCAUUAGCUGGGAAUAGUCAGCUUUUGGCAGAUGAAAAAAAUAAAAUGUGGAAAUGCCGAUAAAUCAAAUUAAUCGUCCGAGUGAAAAAAUGAUAGAAUUGCAUUGCUAAAUAAAUUCUUUUUAGGCUUCAUUGAUGGAAAUACCAGUCCAUGUAAAUACAUUUGACUGGUCAUACUUAUCAGCCUAUAGGGCAGCAGCGUAGCCUAGUGGUUAGAGCGUUGGACUAGUAACCGGAAGGUUGCGAGUUCAAACCCCCAAGCUGACAAGGUACAAAUCUGUCGUUCUGCCCCUGAACAGGCAGUUAACCCAUUGUUCCCAGGCCGUCAUUGAAAAUAAGAAUGUGUUCUUAACUGACUUACCUGGUUAAAUAAAGGUAAAAUAGGUUCAUUUGCGUAACUUUGUGGAAUUAAAUUGGCACGUGUACAAUAUAUUAGUUUUGUAGGUCCAUCUUAUUCAUCACACGAGUAGCUUACAGCAUCUCAUACAGCAAAUGCAUAGGCAACGGAAGGCAGGCUUCAUCAGCGCAUCACACACAACUUUGCAAUGAGUUGUAUGCAUUUUGAAAACAUAUACUUCAUUGUUUGAAACUUGAAUGUUUUACAUGUCUUACCUUGCUUCAAAGUAGCCGAGCCAAAAUCAGACCAUAUCUGUGGAGGCAAUUAUUUUAUAUCAACUUUCUUUCAUUGUCCAAUAGCCAAAGGCACAAUCCUAGUCAUAUUAUCAACCCAUGUUUUUUGUUGCAUAUUAGAUCUCCCCUCUUCCUAUAUUUAGAACUGAUAUUUUCAUCUGUUACAUGAAACUGCCCUCAUGUGCAGGGAUCUUUUCACAACUGUUUUCCUGCUAAUUGCAUUAUGGAACGAACAUUAGCGCGUAGCCUACUGCCAGGUGCACAUUGCUGCGCUUGUCAUUUGAAUAAAUAAUAGUUUGAUAAUAAUACAGUAAUGCGCUUCUGUUUUUAGGAGUGUUCAUGUUGAAAUUUCUUAAAGCACUGUCAACACUGUUUUUAUUCAAUACUUUUACAAUCCAUCACACUUGCUUCUCCCUACUUCCACUUGUGCUACAACCAGCACCGCAGCUGAAAUGAAUGAGUUGCCAGUAACCAAUUGUAUCGAUAGGCCAGUGUUUUUAAAAUUAUUAUUAGUGUCUCUUUUAUAUCGAGGAAUAGUUCACUUUCUUUGGUCAUAGGCACAACAACGUGAAU